rnacentral:misc_RNA from 1 species
AAAACCAUCAAGCCCGGCUUGGCCUUGGGCGCGGUCUGGGGACCCGCUCGCAACCCGUCGGCGGCGCCGGUUCGGCCCUGAGCGUAGCAGAGACACUCGUUCGGGGGCCGCGGCGGCGCCAGCCAGCAGCUCUUCCAUCUACG